GAAAGUAUGGCAAAAGGCAUAAAAAUAAAACCUGCCAUAUUAAACAGAAAGAACAAAAAAGUGUCCAAAAAAUCUAUGAAUUAAAGCUUUGUAGGAAACAAAACAAAAGUGCUGUUCCUGACAAAAAAAAAUAAACAAUAAUAAUCUUCCCGGCAGGUAAAACAGUUAAAAAUCUUUAGUAUGUGCAACAAAAUGAUGGACUUCUAAAUUUUCUUCCUGACAAAAAUUUAAUGCGAUUAAAAAAGUUUGAUGAUUUUCGAAACAAAAUAAACCAAAU
rnacentral:lncRNA from 1 species